GAACUCCUUAGAUUGUUUUCCUUGUCAUCUCCGGAAGCUGUAGCUUUAACAUUUAAAUCACACAUUUUGCUUGGAGCUGUCUGUAGUAAGUUGGAGAAAGUUACUCAGAAAAAAAAAAAAAAAAGUGAACCAUUAUUUCCGUCAACUUCCAGCUAUCAGAUAAUAGUAUAAUACAAUAAUAUCUUCUUUGGAAAGACAAAAUAGGGAUUUUUCUAGCUGACAGAUAAUAAAUUAGUCUACUGUUUGUUUCUAUGGUCGUAUAUUAAUCACUUGUACUUUCUAUAAAAGGAAAAAAUAACAGAGAGAGAGAGAUAAAAACCCACUUUUAACAAUUAUAUUUUAGAAAAUACCACAUUGCUAAUAGAAGGUAUAGUUAUUUACAAACACAAUAAAAUAAGAGUAAAUAAAUGAAACUCCCCAAUAUAAUGUAAUUGGGAAAGGGAACCUUCUCAUAUAAUUAGCUGGGUUGUUGAAACAUAAUCAAGCUUAAAUAUAACUGCACUUGGUUGAAUUCUUUUCAUUGUUAAAGACAUAAAGCCAAAAGCAGUGCAUAAUAUUUUAAAACAAAUACGGAGGCAAAUACAUACUGUAGGGAGCUCAUACAUACCAACGCACUAUCAACAAUGAAAAAAUCACGAUACCAACUUUAUUAAUGCUUUGAUAUUCUCAUUAGAAACACAAUGUAAAAGGCAUCAACUAAAAUAAAACAUUCAUCCUGAUCUCCUUAGGAAUCCAAAUUCAAAAUCAAAAUAAUGGAACAAAAUAACAGGAAACCUUAAAUAGGAGCUCAUCUCCAAGCUUAAAAUAAUAAUGACAACAUCAAAUUUAUUCUGCUCUUGCAUCAGUUUGGGUUGUGUUCAAACUGCCGAAGGAACACCCAUAUGUAUUAUCUAUCAGUGUUCAUAAUAUAAUGUUUUCCAUUUUGUUACCUUCUGAUCAGUAGGCAAGCAUAUAGUGAGCACUAUUAACUUUCAUUUUUAUUUUUGAAGGCUUCCAAUGGUUGGCUCUGAUGAACAUCUACUUUAAACAAAUUCCUCAAUAUUCCUACCCAUAUUCUAGUUAAUACAUAUUUAUUAAACGACAACACAAAAAUUACAACUUAAUCUUCAAAAUCCAUUGGGAAUAUGAGAGGUUUUUAAAUAUAUAAUAAUAACUAAAUAUAUAUUAGGAACUACACUUUCAGCCACAUAAUUUAUCUUACUUCACAAAGAGAUAAGCGUAGUUUAGCUGAUAAUGCAAGAAAAGUGUACCUGAAGUUAGAGCAUUUUCUUAUUCGGCAUCAUCAUUGUACCUGACCUUGACAAUUAGACUGGUUUGAAAAAUUACUUGUAUCUUCUAGUUCUUGUUGUUUCAAGAGCAAAGCGGCAUAUGGAUCAUAAUAAACUUUCAG
rnacentral:lncRNA from 1 species